rnacentral:rRNA from 1 species
CCUANGGGAGGCAGCAGUGAGGAAUAUUGGUCAAUGGGCGUAAGCCUGAACCAGCCAUCCCGCGUGCAGGAAGACGGCGCUAUGCGUUGUAAACUGCUUUUCCAGGGGAAGAAAACUCUCGUCGUGACGAGACUUGCCGGUACCUUGGGAAUAAGCAUCGGCUAACUCCGUGCCAGCAGCCGCGGUAAUACGGAGGAUGUGAGCGUUAUCCGGAUUUAUUGGGUUUAAAGGGUGCGUAGGCGGAUUAAUAAGUCAGUGGUGAAAACCUUCAGCUUAACUGGAGAACUGCCAUUGAUACUGUUAGUCUUGAGUACGGUCAAGGUAGGCGGAAUGUGUAAUGUAGCGGUGAAAUGCUUAGAUAUUACACAGAACACCGAUUGCGAAGGCAGCUUACUGGGCCAUUACUGACGCUGAUGCACGAAAGCGUGGGGAGCGAACAGGAUUAGAUACCCCANUANUC